UAGGAAAACAAAAGAAGCUUUUGUGGUAUCUGCAAUCAUCAUCACCAACAACUCCUUUUGUACAUUCAAAUUUGGUUCUCUUCUGUGUCUGAUCCUACUCCUCCACUGUGAAGCAGAGACCAAUUUGGCUUUUCUUCGGCAUCUCUUUUUAUAUAAAAAGGAAGGAAAGAAAAAAAGAAAAAUGUAAAUCAGAAAUACUCUGAAUCUCUUGAAUUUUAAUUCACCAACCUUUAUAGGUAAAUAUGAGACUGAUCUAAACUAAGUAUACUUUGGUUUUUGUUUUAGUCUACAUCUGAAACAAGCUUUUGUUUAUAAAGUGAAACACUACCAUCACAUUCUUUGAUCCCAGAUUUCAACUCUGACUUGACACACAUUACCGUGUUAUGAACCCUCAUGGACAGACGAUUGUAACCGGAGCCGGAGAUGAAACCUUAAC
rnacentral:lncRNA from 1 species